GCGGACUCCAUGCCUGGCGCCCGGGGAGAGCAGCGCCUCACACCCCGCAGCCGGCACUAGGGCUGUUCCAAUCUCAUCUGCGGAAGCGACGCUAAGGCGCCCUGCCCACACGCCGUCCUGUGAGAGGGUCGAGGAUUCUGCCCAGGCUUUGAAGGUGUUCUCGGCUCCCCAGAGUCCACCAGGAGGAAGCGCCUUCGAGCUGCGAGGAACCACUGCACCACAUCUGGCCCAGCAGCAG